rnacentral:tRNA from 11 species
GACACAACUCGAAAUAUUACUAUUCAGCAGCAUACAACAAACAAUACAAAACAUUUGGAUGGACAGU